rnacentral:rRNA from 1 species
AUUGAACGCUGGCGGCAUGCUUUACACAUGCAAGUCGAACGGCAGCGCGGGCUUCGGCCUGGCGGCGAGUGGCGAACGGGUGAGUAAUGCAUCGGAACGUGCCCAGUAGUGGGGGAUAGCCCGGCGAAAGCCGGAUUAAUACCGCAUACGACCUGAGGGUGAAAGCGGGGGACCGAAAGGCCUCGCGCUAUUGGAGCGGCCGAUGUCGGAUUAGCUAGUUGGUGGGGUAAAGGCUUACCAAGGCGACGAUCCGUAGCUGGUCUGAGAGGACGACCAGCCACACUGGGACUGAGACACGGCCCAGACUCCUACGGGAGGCAGCAGUGGGGAAUUUUGGCCAAUGGGGGCAACCCUGAUCCAGCCAUGCCGCGUGCGGGAAGAAGGCCUUCGGGUUGUAAACCGCUUUUGUUCGGGAAGAAAUCCUCUGGGCUAAUACCCCGGGGGGAUGACGGUACCGGAAGAAUAAGCACCGGCUAACUACGUG